rnacentral:rRNA from 1 species
AUUGAACGCUGGCGGCAGGCCUAACACAUGCAAGUCGAACGGUAACAGGAAGAAGCUUGCUUCUUUGCUGACGAGUGGCGGACGGGUGAGUAAUGUCUGGGAAACUGCCUGAUGGAGGGGGAUAACUACUGGAAACGGUAGCUAAUACCGCAUAACGUCGCAAGACCAAAGAGGGGGACCUUCGGGCCUCUUGCCCUCGGAUGUGCCCAGAUGGGAUUAGCUGGUAGGUGGGGUAACGGCUCACCUAGGCGACGAUCCCUAGCUGGUCUGAGAGGAUGACCAGCCACACUGGAACUGAGACACGGUCCAGACUCCUACGGGAGGCAGCAGUGGGGAAUAUUGCACAAUGGGCGCAAGCCUGAUGCAGCCAUGCCGCGUGUAUGAAGAAGGCCUUCGGGUUGUAAAGUACUUUCAGCGGGGAGGAAGGGAGUAAAGUUAAUACCUUGGCUCAUUGACGUUACCCGCAGAAGAAGCACCGGCUAACUCCGUG